GACGAACGCUGGCGGCGUGCUUAACACAUGCAAGUCGAACGCUGAACCCGCUUCGGUGGGGGAUGAGUGGCGAACGGGUAAGUAACACGUGGGCAACCUGCCCCCGGCUCUGGGAUAACUCCAAGAAAUUGGGGCUAAUACCGGAUGUGACCGCUGGCCGCAUGGUCUGGUGGUGGAAAGGGUUUCCGGCUGGGGAUGGGCCCGCGGCCUAUCAGCUUGUUGGUGGGGUAGUGGCCUACCAAGGCGACGACGGGUAGCCGGCCUGAGAGGGUGACCGGCCACACUGGGACUGAGACACGGCCCAGACUCCUACGGGAGGCAGCAGUGGGGAAUAUUGCGCAAUGGGCGGAAGCCUGACGCAGCGACGCCGCGUGGGGGAUGACGGCCUUCGGGUUGUAAACCUCUUUCAGCAGGGACGAAGCGCAAGUGACGGUACCUGCAGAAGAAGCACCGGCCAACUACGUG
rnacentral:rRNA from 1 species